AUGGCCACCUGCCUCUCUGACUUAAUAAGUGACCAUUCCCUUGAUUUCCUGGGUCUACAGGAAACCAUGAAGAAAAACUUCUCCCCUAAAUGCUUGAGAAAAAUCGACCCUUUUAGUAUCUUUGAGUGGGUUUGGAUCCCCUCAUGUGGCAAAUCAGGUGGUAUCAUUGCAGGAGCUAGAAAGGAUAAUUUGGACUUGAGGUCCAAUAAGAAAGGAAAGUUCAUGAUCCAGCUUGACCUAAUAGAUAGGAAGAAUAAAUCUGAAUGGAGUAUUCUAGUGGUGUAUGGCCCAACUCAUGAGGAUAUGAGGGAGGAGUUCCUGCUGGAACUUGCUCAAUUUUGUUUUGAUAUGAACAAACCCUACAUAGUUGGGGGAGACUUUAACAUCUUGAGGCAUGGUGGAGAGAAAAAUAAAAAAUUACAUGGCCAUAAAUCUAUGGACAUAUUCAAUUCUAUCAUUAAUGCAUAUGGCCUGAGGGAGAUUUAUUGUAGUGGAGGGAAAUAUACUUGGACAAAUAACCAGACCCACCCCACCUUGGAAAAGCUAGACAGGAUUUUGAUGUCUAGUGACUGGGAAAGCUUGUACCCAUUGGUAACUGUUAGAAAGCAGGUUAGAGAGUUAUCUGACCAUAACCCCCUACUCCUCUCCUCA
rnacentral:rRNA from 1 species